UCCUGGGUGGCUCAGACGGUUAAGUGUCUGCCUAUAAUGCGGGAGACCCAGGUUCGCUCCCUGCCUCGGGAA
rnacentral:tRNA from 1 species